AUGGCGGUUGGAGGGUCGGCAGUGAUCACACGUCGGCUGCUGGAAAGAACUGGAUUCUCGUUUCAGGCUACCAUCAAAAAAGCUAAGUUUGCUGUAUAGUAAGGAUCAGAAGAUCUGAUCCUGAUUGCAGAACAUUGCUGAUUACAGAAUCUUGGGUUGUGUCUCCCACCUCAUCUUUCCCUACCAUCCCAGAAGAUCUAUAAGGUUCCAUCUGGGAAAACACUAGAAGUUCUUGGAAGGGAAAGAAGGAAGAGGAUUACUGGUUGGAAUAAAAACAGGGUUGAAUGAGUUCCAGAAAGCAGGGUUCUCAAACUCGUGGACAACAAUCUGCAGAAGAAGACAACUUCAAAAAACCAACUAGAAGCAAUAUGCAGAGAAGUAAGAUGAGAGGAGCCUCCUCAGGAAAGAAGACCGCUGGUCCACAGCAGAAGAAUCUGGAAGCAGCACUCCCCGGCAGGUGGGGGGGUCGCUCUGCAGAGACCCCCCCUUCGGGGUCCGUGAGGAAGACCAGAAAGAACAAACAGAAGACCCCUGGAAAUGGAGAUGGUGGCAGUACCAGCGAAGCACCUCAGCCACCUCGGAAGAAAAGGGCCCGGGCUGACCCCACUGUGGAAAGUGAGGAGGCAUUUAAGAAUAGAAUGGAAGUGAAAGUGAAGAUUCCUGAAGAAUUAAAACCAUGGCUAGUUGAGGACUGGGACUUAGUUACCAGGCAGAAGCAGCUCUUUCAACUCCCUGCUAAGAAAAAUGUAGAUGCCAUUCUGGAAGAGUACGCAAAUUGCAAGAAAUCACAGGGAAAUGUUGAUAAUAAGGAGUAUGCGGUUAAUGAAGUUGUGGCAGGAAUAAAAGAGUAUUUCAAUGUGAUGUUGGGCACUCAGCUGCUCUAUAAAUUUGAGAGGCCCCAGUAUGCCGAAAUCCUCUUGGCUCACCCUGAUGCGCCCAUGUCCCAGGUUUAUGGGGCACCACACCUACUGAGAUUAUUUGUGAGAAUUGGAGCAAUGUUGGCAUAUACGCCCCUUGAUGAGAAGAGCCUUGCAUUAUUGUUGGGCUAUCUGCAUGAUUUCCUAAAAUACCUGGCAAAGAAUGCUGCGUCUCUGUUUACUGCCAGUGAUUAUAAAGUGGCUUCUGCUGAGUACCACCGCAAAGCCCUGUGAGGGUCUCCUGACCGCUCGCUGUUAUGUCUGGUAUCUGUAAACACUCUUUUUGUUCUUAGUCUUUUUCUUGUAUAAUUGAUGUUCUUUAAAAUUGUUCAUGUAUAACAGGGCUUAUGUUUCAGUUUGUUUUCUGUUUUAUUCUAAACAGAAAAUAAAAGGAGUGCAAGCUCCUUUUCUCAUUUCAAAGUUGCUACCAGUGUACACAGUAAUUAGACAAAGAAGAAACAUUCAGUAGAACAUUUUAUUGCCUAGUUGACAACAUUGCUUGAAUGCUGGUGGUUCUAUCCCUUUGACACUACACAAUUUUCUAAUAUGUGUUAAUGCUAUGUGGAAAAAUGCCCUGAUUCCUAGUGCCAAAGGUUCAACUUAAUGUAUAUACCUGAAAACCCAUGCAUUUGUGCUCUUUUUUUUUUAUGGUGCUUGAAGUAAAACAGCCCAUCCUCUGCAAGUCCAUCUCUGUUGUUCCUUAGGCAUUCUAUCUUUGCUCAAAUUGUUGAAGGAUGGUGGUUUGUUUCAUGGUUUUUGUAUUUGAGUCUAAUGCACGUUCUAACAUGAUAGGGGCAAUGCAUUAUUGUGUAGCCACGGUUUUCUGGAGAAGUUGAUAUUUUAGGAAUUGUAUUUCAGAUCUUAAAUAAAAUUUGUUUCUAAAUUUCAAAGCAAAUAAUUUGCAAUGUGCCUUUCAUGUCCCAGAGGUGGAGAAGUCAGCAGGCUUAGGCAAGAUCUAGAUGGUAUUAAAGGAGAGAGUUCUAACUCCUAGUGAAAGAAUUCCUUUUAUUAUUGGGUGUCGCAUCCAGGAGUAUGCCCUGUCGGGCCAGUCCCCUUCCUUUCCCCUCUGUGUGGCUUCUCAGGGUGGGAUUGUUUUCUAGUGCUGCUUGUCAGAGCCACUUUUGUUCCUGGUGCUCCUGUCCUUUAUGAGUUGGGCUGGUGUAAUUGGAUAUACUGUAACAGUUCCUUAUAGGAGUUCCUUUCAUGGCUCAGAGGGUUAUAAACCUGACUGGUAUUCAUGAGGUUGCGGGUUCAAUCCCUGGCCUCACUCAGCAGGUUAAGGAUCUGGUGUUGCCUUGAGCUGUGGUGUAGGUCGCAGAUGCGGCUCAGAUCCCACAUUGCUGUGGCUGUGGCGUAGUCCGGCACCGGCGGUUCCAAUUCAACCCCUAGCCUGGAAACGUCCGUGUGCCACAGGUGCAGCCCUAAAAAGAAAAACAAAAAACCCAUGUUAUAUCAGAAAUACCUGGGAGUUCCCGUUGUGGCACAGUGGUUAACGAAUCCGACUAGGAACCAUAAGGUUGCAGGUUCGGUCCCUGCCCUUCUUGCUCAGUGGGUUAACGAUCCGGUGUUGCCAUGAGCUGUGGUGUAGGUUGCAGACACGGCUCGGAUCCCGCGUUGCUGUGACUCUGGCGUAGGCUGGCGGCUACAGCUCCGAUUACAUCCCUAGCCUGGGAACCUCCCAUAUGCUGCAAGAGCGGCCCAAGAAAUGGCAAAAAGACAAAAAAAAAAAAAAUACCUGCAGAUUUGGGGCUAAAGACGGCAGCUUUCCUAUCUCUAGCAUUGAUGCCAUGUUCCUUCUGUUUUUUUAAUCCCUUGGAUGUAACAUUGGGAAUCCUAGAGUAGAGGGUCUGGAAAAGAAGGUUGGUCUAUGAUUAUAAAUCCAUCUUAUAU
rnacentral:lncRNA from 1 species